GACGAACGCUGGCGGCGUGCUUAACACAUGCAAGUCGUACGGUAAGGCCCUUUCGGGGGUACACGAGUGGCGAACGGGUGAGUAACACGUGAGUAACCUGCCCACAACUUUGGGAUAACGCUAGGAAACUGGUGCUAAUACUGGAUAUGUGCUCCUGCUGCAUGGUGGGGGUUGGAAAGCUCCGGCGGUUGUGGAUGGACUCGCGGCCUAUCAGCUUGUUGGUGGGGUAGUGGCCUACCAAGGCGGCGACGGGUAGCCGGCCUGAGAGGGUGACCGGCCACAUUGGGACUGAGAUACGGCCCAGACUCCUACGGGAGGCAGCAGUGGGGAAGAUUGCACAAUGGGCGCAAGCCUGAUGCAGCAACGCCGCGUGCGGGAUGACGGCCUUCGGGUUGUAAACCGCUUUCAGCAGGGACGAAGCUUUUUGUGACGGUACCCGCAGAAGAAGCACCGGCUAACUACGUG
rnacentral:rRNA from 1 species